GCCGCCGACGGGAAUGGGGCUUCCCGAUAACCGCCGGCCGGUGCACGGUCCGGCUGAUGGCGCCUGCUGCCAA
rnacentral:ncRNA from 2 species